GGGCCCGCACAAGCGGCGGAGCAUGCGGAUUAAUUCGAUGCAACGCGAAGAACCUUACCAAGGCUUGACAUAUAGAGGAAAAGUGCAGAAAUGCACUCCCCGCAAGGUCUCUAUACAGGUGGUGCAUGGUUGUCGUCAGCUCGUGUCGUGAGAUGUUGGGUUAAGUCCCGCAACGAGCGCAACCCUCGUCCUAUGUUGCCAGCACGUAAUGGUGGGAACUCAUGGGAUACUGCCGGGGUCAACUCGGAGGAAGGUGGGGAUGACGUCAAAUCAUCAUGCCCCUUAUGUCUUGGGCUUCACGCAUGCUACAAUGGCCGGUACAGAGGGCUGCAAUACCGCAAGGUGGAGCGAAUCUUCAAAACCGGUCUCAGUUCGGAUCGCAGUCUGCAACUCGACUGCGUG
rnacentral:rRNA from 1 species